UGCUGAAACCUCGAGCCCCGCGUCCCUCCUUCCCCGCUCUCCACCCCCACGCUUCCCCGUGCAGCCACCGCCUCCCCAUCCCCGCUCUCUCCGCCCCGCCCAGAGUCCUUCGCGCCGCCCUUGAGGAGCGGAUCGACGACGGCCACCGCCUCCCCAUCCUCGCUCUCUCCGCCCCGCCCAGAGUCCUUCGCGCCGCCCUUGAGGAGCGGAUCGACGACGGCGAGGAUGAGAGAUCGAGGAGGGAGGGGUGACGCCGGCCAGCCGCAGGCCUCACCACCGGCUCGUGUGGAAGCGCUGGACAGCGGCAAGAAGGAACCAUCUCUCUGCUUCUUUCUCUCUUCCCCGCAAGCGGCACUUCUGGAUCGGGCCCGGGAUUCAUGGUCGGUGUGGAGGAGCGGGGGAGGGUGUGGAGGGGAGAUGCGAGGAAGGAGUGGUCAGGUGAUGGUGGAAUUUAACAGGCCAUCACUGCCUGUCGCUGCUUUCCCGUCGCCGUGCCCCAUCCCCAAUCUUAGCUGCACAUCUAUCUUUCUCCUCUAUUUUCUUGCCGCUUGAUUCGGCUGGUUCUUUGAUAAUCUGAUUUUGAUUUCUCAAUUUAUGUUUUUUUCUAUAAGAUGUGUGCAGAUCGAAUGAAGAAGACAAGAGGAAGACUGAAGAACAAGCAAAUUUGGGCAGAGUAGGGGAAAGCGAGGGUCAGAAGAGCAAGGUCUUGUCAGAAUUUUAGAGAUAGAAAAUGGAAUACUUGGAGGUGUACUGCAGGAAGGUGGACGAUGCCAAUCAGACCAGGGUCAAGCAGCAGCAGUCUGUGGCCACUAAAGAAGCUGAGGUUGAUAUGUUAGUGGCUACUCUAGGGGAGCACAAGUUGUAUCUCAAGGAUGCUUUUGUCAAUUUCUCGGCACUUGCGCAUAAAGACAAGAGCUACGUGUCGCUCAAGGAACAAGUUGCCGCUGUCGUUCCUGUGCUUGACGAUCUGAAAUGCAAGAGACAGAAGAAAGGAUCAAGUAUUACGAUAUUCAAUCACAGAUUGAGAAGAUAUGCUCUAUAAGUUAAUUAACUACAUGUCUGCAUUAAUAUAUUUUCCUGAUGGGUUUCCCUACUAUGGCUCAUGGUCAUAGAUGUAGUUUGCCUUUGCUGCUGUUGUUUCUCUCAAUAUUUCUAUCCCACUAUAUUGUAUGUGUUCUGAAUGUACCUGUAUAUGAAAGAUGAUUAUCUCCAUUAUUAUUGUUCGUACUACCAUUUUUAUCCAAGAUUCAAAACACCUAACGCGUGCCUUUUUUUAAGUAUCUUUAAUGCAGCCUAUUGGUUCUUAACUUACUACCAACUACUAGCGGAGAUAGCUUUCUGAAAUAAGCAUGCUAAGCAUGAACGUUGUUCUACUUAUGGGAAGAACCCUCAGAGAUCCAGGCAGCGUCUAGAUUGCUGUUAUCAUCCUCCAUCAACAAAACCAUGGGGUCCUUGUGGGAGCUGCAUACAAACCUUGUGGAUGUAUUUGGUUGGUAGCUGCAACAGCCUACCAAUCGGAUAAGAGAAGCCAAGGGGCCAUCGGCGAUGGUGUAGCUUCAGCAUCCUGUCAAUCGAAGGAGAGGCCAAGGAGUCAUCGGCAAGAAGCAACCUUAUCCUGGACCUUGAAGUGGAGUAAUGGUUAACAAUGUUUUAUGGAUCAUAUGUUUUCUUUUGUUCACACUUGAGAGCUACAAGCAUUAAGAUGUUAUGAUAAAUUAUGUACCAAAGUUUGCUUUGUCCGUGGUCAUAUCUAUAUGUGUUAAUUUAUUUUCCUAUAGUCGUAUCGAUAUUAUUAUCCCUAUGAGUUGUCCCCUUUGUUCUAUAGUAAUGUAAUCAGAGCGAGAAAUGUAAAUGUGAUUGAAUUAUGGUGUGGCUCUUACAAAAAUAUGUGAAUGGGAUCAGAAUUGUGUAUAUAUUAUUGAUUUAA